rnacentral:misc_RNA from 1 species
GAUGAAGAACGCAGCGAAAUGCGAUAAGUAAUGUGAAUUGCAGAAUUCAGUGAAUCAUCGAAUCUUUGAACGCACAUUGCGCCCCCUGGUAUUCCGGGGGGCAUGCCUGUUCGAGCGUCAUUACAACCCUCAAGCUCUGCUUGGUAUUGGGCCCCGCCGACCCGGCGAGCCCUAAAAUCAGUGGCGGUGCCGUCUGGUUCCGAGCGUAGUAAUUCUUCUCGCUUUGGAGGCCGGGCGUGUGCUUGCCAGCAACCCCCAAUUUUUUUCAGGUUGACCUCGGAUCAGGUAGGGAUACCCGCUGAACUUAAGCAUAUCAAUAAGCGGAGGA